CAUGAUCCAAAUAAUUAUUAAAAAUCAUAAACCACUGCCAUGCAAGCCUUUAAAUCACUAUAAAUUCAUUUAUACACCAAAUAAUGUGUAGCAACAUUUUCCCAGUGACUAACCAUCCAUGCAGAGCCAGCAAAUCAAGUUUCAUAUUUUUCUGAGUUAUAUUCUAAUUACUAUACAUUUUCCAAUCCCAGCAAAAAUAUGGAUUAAAUAUAUUUAUACAGAAAAGUUGUUCAAACAUGAUAUGCAACCACAUCAAACCAUAGAUCUGGAAUUACAGAGCUCAUCAAAAUUUAUUUCACCAGAUUUGGAGCUGUAGAACUCAAGAUAUGGAUUUUAUAACUGUUAAAUCAAUUUUUGAAAAUUAUUUUCUGAAAACCAAUUCGAAAUCAGGCUCAAAAACACUAAAGACACCCAGAUCUACACCCAACUCGGUCCCCCUGCGAUUGACAGUGGGCCUCUGACCCCACUGGUCAGUGUGAUCGAGAGGGAGGACACCUCCGACGAGCGGAUCUCGCCGGCGGUGAGGUCCCCGGCCACGGGGUGAGCACCAUCGUGCUCCCCGCAGCGAGGCGCACCUAGGGGUUCCCUCGGAUUGGCCGGAGGAUGGCCGGAACACCUCCGACGAGCGUGCAUGGCGGCACGGCGGCGCUGCUCGCCGUGGCCAGGCCGCUUC
rnacentral:lncRNA from 1 species